CUCAGGGAAUCCUGCCCAUCGCCUUCUCCAGGCCGACUUCGCAGAACUACUGCUCCCUGGAGCAGCCAGGCCAGGGCGGCAGCACCAGCGCCUUCGAGCAGCUGCAGAGGUCCCGACGGCGCCUCAUCUCCCAGAGAUCUUCCUUGGAGACCCUGGAAGAUAUUGAGGAGAACGCCCCUCUCCGGAGGAAAAUCCAUGAAUAACGUUGAGAAGCCCCUGGAGUUUCAAGAGGCUACUAGAAGCCAUGGUCCUUGGAACAACGUGGCCACUGUGAGCCGAAGGAAACCGGGUGACUCGGGGUACCAGCUACAAAGGGCUCUCCCCUCUUCAGGAAUUCCCAGGCAGGGCUGUUGAGCCUCGGGAUGCAGUGUCCUUGAGUCUCGAGGUGUCGAGGAGAGGCCGGAGGAGGACGU
rnacentral:sRNA from 1 species